rnacentral:rRNA from 1 species
GUACUAGUUAUGUUCUUGAAACUUAAAAAAUUUGGCGGUAUUUUAUUCUUUCCAGAGGAACCUGUUCUUUAAUUGAUAAUCCACGAUUUUAUUUACUUAUAUUUGUAAGCAAUUUUUAUAUCUCCGUCAUAAGAAUAUUUUGUUAGAAUAAAUUUUCUUGGUUAUUUAAGGUUAAAAUGUCAGGUCAAGGUGAAAUUUAUGUAUAAGUAGAAAUGGGUUACAAUAAUAUUAUUUAUAUGGAUAGUAUGUGUUAUAUUAUAUUUGAAGGUGGAUUUGGGAGUAAAAAAAUUUUUAUUAAUUUUUUGAUUUUAGCUCUAAAAUAUGUACACAUCGCC